GCCACGUGAGAGAGGGAGAGAUAGAGAACUCAAGGAGAAAAAGGAAGGAAGAGCUUGAGAAUGAAGAGGAAAGAUGGGGAAAUUGAUGGAUUUACUUCAAGAGAUUGGCUCUAGGUCAAGACGAGGACAUCGUUCCACCGCUAUCAGAGACCUACCGCUGUAAUUACUUUGGGAGUCCAUCUUAACCCUUGACGCUCACCCUUCAAUUGUCAACCUCAGUAUGCCCAGACUCCCAGGCCAAGCCCAUGCAUUUAUGUGAAGUUUUGUUAAGAUUUUGGCUUGCGCUUU